GGACCGAAGACGUGAAAAUGGCCUCCGGACGCGUUUUCGGCAAUGAAAUCAUGUGCUAUAGGUCACGGUUAGCCUGAAAACGACCACAACGGCAACCGGGGUCGAAAACGUGAGGGAUGGACCAAAGACGUGAAAAUGGCCUCCGGACGCAUUUUCGGCCAUGAAAUCGUUUGAUAUAGGUCACGGUUAGCCCGAAAUCGCUAGACCGGCAAUAGGAGUCGAAAACGUGGGGUUGGAUCGAAGUCGU
rnacentral:lncRNA from 1 species